rnacentral:tRNA from 1 species
GGACGGGUGGCCGAGUGGCUGAAGGCGCUGGUUUGCUAAACCGGUAUACGGGGUAUUCCUCGUAUCGCGGGUUCGAAUCCCGCCCCGUCCG